rnacentral:rRNA from 1 species
GGUUAAGCGACUAAGCGUACACGGUGGAUGCCCUGGCAGUCAGAGGCGAUGAAGGACGUGCUAAUCUGCGAUAAGCGCCGGUAAGGUGAUAUGAACCGUUAUAACCGACGAUUUCCGAAUGGGGAAACCCAGUGUGACUCGUCACACUAUCAUUAACUGAAUCCAUAGGUUAAUGAGGCGAACCGGGGGAACUGAAACAUCUAAGUACCCCGAGGAAAAGAAAUCAACCGAGAUUCCCCCAGUAGCGGCGAGCGAACGGGGAGGAGCCCAGAGCCUGAAUCAGCAUGUGUGUUAGUGGAAGCGUCUGGAAAGGCGCGCGAUACAGGGUGACAGCCCCGUACACAAAAGCGCAUGUGCUGUGAGCUCGAUGAGUAGGGCGGGACACGUGGUAUCCUGUCUGAAUAUGGGGGGACCAUCCUCCAAGGCUAAAUACUCCUGACUGACCGAUAGUGAACCAGUACCGUGAGGGAAAGGCGAAAAGAACCCCGGCGAGGGGAGUGAAAAAGAACCUGAAACCGUGUACGUACAAGCAGUGGGAGCACCUUCGGGUGUGACUGCGUACCUUUUGUAUAAUGGGUCAGCGACUUAUAUUCUGUAGCAAGGUUAACCGAAUAGGGGAGCCGUAGGGAAACCGAGUCUUAACCGGGCGUUAAGUUGCAGGGUAUAGACCCGAAACCCGGUGAUCUAGCCAUGGGCAGGUUGAAGGUUGGGUAACACUAACUGGAGGACCGAACCGACUAAUGUUGAAAAAUUAGCGGAUGACCUGUGGCUGGGGGUGAAAGGCCAAUCAAACCGGGAGAUAGCUGGUUCUCCCCGAAAGCUAUUUAGGUAGCGCCUCGUGAAUUCAUCUCCGGGGGUAGAGCACUGUUUCGGCUAGGGGGCCAUCCCGGCUUACCAACCCGAUGCAAACUGCGAAUACCGGAGAAUGUUAUCACGGGAGACACACGGCGGGUGCUAACGUCCGUCGUGAAGAGGGAAACAACCCAGACCGCCAGCUAAGGUCCCAAAGUCAUGGUUAAGUGGGAAACGAUGUGGGAAGGCUCAGACAGCCAGGAUGUUGGCUUAGAAGCAGCCAUCAUUUAAAGAAAGCGUAAUAGCUCACUGGUCGAGUCGGCCUGCGCGGAAGAUGUAACGGGGCUAAACCAUGCACCGAAGCUGCGGCAGCGACACUGUGUGUUGUUGGGUAGGGGAGCGUUCUGUAAGCCUGUGAAGG